UGUGUGUGUAACAGUAUAACUGUUUGUGUGUGUUAGGUGAGUCUAUGGGAUGGAUCUACUGCAUUGUAUAUCGGGUCACAUAAUUAUUCUCAUCACAUCCACAGUGACUCAGUAUUGUGUGGGUAGAUAAAUACUGGAUUGGGAAAUGAUUCAAGUGUUGCCAUAAACUAAUAGGUGUGGCACGUUGUGUUUUGAUGGUGAGAGGUGAUAUAUAAGGAGUUCGCUGAAAAAGACAGUAAUUUCUCUCUGGCCGUUAAACACCAAGCCUGGACAAGAUGCCUGGUUUUGCAGUUUUGUGCAUCACUUUGGUUCUGCUGCCAGUGGUUAUCUGCGGCCCCACACGCCACAGCAGUGAUGAGAGACCAAUGUCUCACUGUGAAAAACCGUUUCACCAUCCACAUCAUCCGCACCGCCCACACCGCCCAGAGAAACCAUGUCCACCAACCAAGCCUCCAGCUACAUCUACAACUGCAACCUCAACAAGAAGCUCAACUACAGCUACAUCCACCACAGCUAUAUCAACCACACGUUCCACCACACCUUCCACUACAGCUACAUCCACCACACGUUCCACCACACCUUCCACUACAGCUACAUCCACCACAGCUAUAUCAACCACACGUUCCACCACACCUUCCACUACAGCUACAUCCACCACACCAUCCACCACACCUUCCACCACACCCUCCACCACACCAUCCACCACACCUUCCACCACACCCUCCACCACACCAUCCACCACACCUUCCACCACACCAUCCACCUCAACUUCCACCACACGUCCCACCACACCCUCGCCUGCAUCUCCCACCUCCACCCCAACUGCUCAGCCUACUACACCCAGAGGUGAUAAUGUGUAGCUCUACAACGUAUCAGGAGCAGCUUAUUUCGCAGUAAUACUACAGCUUAAGGAAUGUAGAAUUCUUCCUGUUUCUUGACCCAUUGCACUAAUAACUGAUUGUGAGAAAUCUAUAUUCAGCAUGCUUUUGUUUUUGUGUUAAUAAAGCCUAUUUGCAGAUGAAUGAUGUUUGAUCG
rnacentral:lncRNA from 1 species